rnacentral:tRNA from 2 species
CCUAUUUGACUCCAAAAAUAUUUAUCCUACCCCUUUUCGUUAGCG